rnacentral:rRNA from 1 species
AUUGAACGCUAGCGGGAUGCUUUACACAUGCAAGUCGAACGGCAGCGCGGACUUCGGUCUGGCGGCGAGUGGCGAACGGGUGAGUAAUGUAACGGAACGUGCCCAGUAGCGGGGGAUAACUACGCGAAAGCGUAGCUAAUACCGCAUACGCCCUACGGGGGAAAGCAGGGGAUCGUAAGACCUUGCACUAUUGGAGCGGCCGAUAUCGGAUUAGCUAGUUGGUGAGGUAACGGCUCACCAAGGCGACGAUCCGUAGCUGGUUUGAGAGGACGACCAGCCACACUGGGACUGAGACACGGCCCAGACUCCUACGGGAGGCAGCAGUGGGGAAUUUUGGACAAUGGGGGCAACCCUGAUCCAGCCAUCCCGCGUGUGCGAUGAAGGCCUUCGGGUUGUAAAGCACUUUUGGCAGGAAAGAAACGUCGCGGGCUAAUACCCCGUGGAACUGACGGUACCUGCAGAAUAAGCACCGGCUAACUACGU